UCUUAUGUAGAUUCCCACAAUGUUAAUGCACCAGAUUCCAUCAAAACUUCACAAUUAAGUGCGCUUGGGCUAGAGUAGUACUAGGAUGUGUGACCUCCUCAGAAGUCCUAUAAAUUAUUC
rfam:Picea glauca, whole genome shotgun sequence.